rnacentral:tRNA from 2 species
GCGGAAGUGGUGAAAUUGGUAUACACGCUAUCUUGAGGGGGUAGUGCUCGUAAGGGCAUGCGGGUUCAAGUCCCGCCUUCCGCA